GUAAAAAUCCAUCUAGUUUGCAAGACACUACAGAUGAAGAAGUCUGAGAGAAGACUGUAAGCUGAGUAGUUCUGGAACUCGGCUCUGGGGAAAUGGCAACAAAUGACGGGGAUAGAUUAGCAACCACAGGCCUGCUCAACUUCACUCACA